rnacentral:rRNA from 1 species
CUCCCGGAUGUUAGCGGCGGACGGGUGAGUAACACGUGGGUAACCUGCCUGUAAGACUGGGAUAACUCCGGGAAACCGGAGCUAAUACCGGAUAGUUCCUUGAACCGCAUGGUUCAAGGAUGAAAGACGGUUUCGGCUGUCACUUACAGAUGGACCCGCGGCGCAUUAGCUAGUUGGUGGGGUAAUGGCUCACCAAGGCGACGAUGCGUAGCCGACCUGAGAGGGUGAUCGGCCACACUGGGACUGAGACACGGCCCAGACUCCUACGGGAGGCAGCAGUAGGGAAUCUUCCGCAAUGGACGAAAGUCUGACGGAGCAACGCCGCGUGAGUGAUGAAGGUUUUCGGAUCGUAAAGCUCUGUUGUUAGGGAAGAACAAGUGCGAGAGUAACUGCUCGCACCUUGACGGUACCUAACCAGAAAGCCACGGCUAACUACGUGCCAGCAGCCGCGGUAAUACGUAGGUGGCAAGCGUUGUCCGGAAUUAUUGGGCGUAAAGGGCUCGCAGGCGGUUUCUUAAGUCUGAUGUGAAAGCCCCCGGCUCAACCGGGGAGGGUCAUUGGAAACUGGGAAACUUGAGUGCAGAAGAGGAGAGUGGAAUUCCACGUGUAGCGGUGAAAUGCGUAGAGAUGUGGAGGAACACCAGUGGCGAAGGCGACUCUCUGGUCUGUAACUGACGCUGAGGAGCGAAAGCGUGGGGAGCGAACAGGAUUAGAUACCCUGGUAGUCCACGCCGUAAACGAUGAGUGCUAAGUGUUAGGGGGUUUCCGCCCC